UUCUACCCCAAACACCUUCCCUCGCUAUAAAUACUAUCCCUAAAACUAGUUUCCAAUGCCUAACACUCUAACCAUAGUUGGCCCACCCUAAAACCCCUCCCAUUAUUCAAAUGCAUCCUAAAGACAAGGGUAACACUGACCUCAUAGCCCCAUGGUGUACAAACAAAGGCUAAUCAUCCCUGGCACUAUAACAUAGCUUGGCUUAGAAACCAGGAAGGCAGGCCAGCUGCGGUAAAGGGAUAGUCUCUGGAAGCUGAGGGUAGGAGUGAGGACAAUAGAAGUUUGGAGUCAUCUUGAAGGCGGCCUAGGGCAGAGGGAAAAAACUUCCAGGGCAAACAGCCUCCGGGAGACAUUACACGGUGCCCGACACAAGAUCGCUGUUGAUACUUUCCACACCAACUUGGUCGGUGUUGGCACCUGCACAGGCUUAUCCCUGCACCAGUGAAAGCUCUACUAAGAAGAACCUGCCAUCUUGGCUCCCUCAAGCUCAGCUGGAGGAGAAAGGGAAGGCUCACGGACAGAAUAAUGCAGGACUCAUUCUGUACAACAUAGAGCUCCCACACUUCCUGGAGCCAGGAAGGAUCCGAAAGGCUAUAGAAGAGGUUGAAGGAUGAAGAGGACAUAGUCAAGAAACGAGGCUGAAGCCAAGCGAGCCACUUCGGUGCAGAUGACCCUCCCUAUAUUGCUGGUAGAAAUAUAAAAUAGGGCAGCCACUACAGAAACGGUUUGGUGAUUCCUCAAAAAUUAAAUAUAGAAUUGCCAUAUGAUCCAGCAAUUCCAGCCCAAGUUAUAUAGCCCAAAUAAUUAAAAGCGGAUAUUCAAACAAAACCUGUACACAAAUGUUCAUAAUAGCACUAUUCACAAUAGCCAAAAGGUGGAAACAACCCAAAGGUCCAUCAAACUGGAUAAUAAAAUGUGGUAUAUCUAUAUAGUGGAAUAUUAU